rnacentral:rRNA from 1 species
ACAUUUCUAGCUUGCUAGAAGAUGACGAGUGGCGGACGGGUGAGUAAUACUUAGGAAUAUGCCUUUGUGUGGGGGAUAACUAUUGGAAACGAUAGCUAAUACCGCAUAACGUCUUCGGACCAAAGGGGGCUUCGGCUCCCGCGCAAAGAGUAGCCUAAGCGAGAUUAGCUUGUUGGUGAGGUAAAGGCUCACCAAGGCGACGAUCUCUAGCUGUUCUGAGAGGAAGAUCAGCCACACUGGAACUGAGACACGGUCCAGACUCCUACGGGAGGCAGCAGUGGGGAAUAUUGCACAAUGGGGGAAACCCUGAUGCAGCCAUGCCGCGUGUGUGAAGAAGGCCUUCGGGUUGUAAAGCACUUUCAGUUGUGAGGAAAGGUUAACGGUUAAUACCCGUUAGCUGUGACGUUAGCAACAGAAGAAGGACCGGCUAACUCCGUGCCAGCAGCCGCGGUAAUACGGAGGGUCCGAGCGUUAAUCGGAAUUACUGGGCGUAAAGCGCACGCAGGCGGUUUGUUAAGCUAGAUGUGAAAGCCCUGGGCUCAACCUGGGAAUUGCAUUUAGAACUGGCAGGCUAGAGUUUUGGAGAGGGGAGUGGAAUUCCAGGUGUAGCGGUGAAAUGCGUAGAUAUCUGG